rnacentral:rRNA from 1 species
CCAGACUCCUACGGGAGGCAGCAGUGAGGAAUAUUGGUCAAUGGGCGGAAGCCUGAACCAGCCAAGUAGCGUGAAGGAUGACUGCCCUAUGGGUUGUAAACUUCUUUUAUGCGGGGAUAAAGUUCGCCACGUGUGGCGUUUUGCAGGUACCGCAUGAAUAAGGACCGGCUAAUUCCGUGC